rnacentral:lncRNA from 1 species
GGCUGGGUGCAGGGCAGCGGUCGGAGUGGAUGGCCCAGGAAAGGCUGUUCAUCCUGUGGCAUGCUUAGCUGUUUCCACACUGCUUUGCAAUGAAGAUUCAUUACUGUAUCUUAAUGUUUCUCUUUCUGGGCCUGUUGUUAAACUCAGGGCCUAGAUAUACAAGAGAGUUUGAAAACUACAUAAAAUAAUAUUUUUGGAAGGGAAGAAUUAUCAAGAAGACUCAAACCAAAAAGCAGACUUAGAAAACAGUAACUUCAAAGGGAAGUGAAGAUAUUCCCGAAGUCAACAGUACCCUGGACUGUAAAAAUCAAACGCUGUGUAGUUCGGAGAAUACAAAUGGAGACUGCUCUGAUGUUCAGAAAGUGGGGCUGUGUGUCUUACGUCUUAGUCAAACUCCUCAGCAACAGACCUAAAGAAAUUGGGUACCACAUGAUUGUACACUCUACCUUGCUCAUAAAAUAACUCAAAGAUGAACCCAAGAGUCUAGAAGGUUACUCAAUACAACAUAAUCUCCAACUUCACUGAGGUGGCUGACCACGUCCAGGACCGAAGCUGCUUCUAAACUGGAACUCAUUUGCUGAGCCAGCCCCAGCCUCAGCUUUCUUGUCAGCUACAGGGGGCACAACACUCCUUCUGUAGGUGUCUCU